GAUGAACGCUGGCGGCGUGCCUAAUACAUGCAAGUCGAGCGAACAGAUGAGGAGCUUGCUCCUCUGACGUUAGCGGCGGACGGGUGAGUAACACGUGGAUAACCUACCUAUAAGACUGGGAUAACUUCGGGAAACCGGAGCUAAUACCGGAUAAUAUAUUGAACCGCAUGGUUCAAUAGUGAAAGACGGUUUUGCUGUCACUUAUAGAUGGAUCCGCGCCGCAUUAGCUAGUUGGUAAGGUAACGGCUUACCAAGGCGACGAUGCGUAGCCGACCUGAGAGGGUGAUCGGCCACACUGGAACUGAGACACGGUCCAGACUCCUACGGGAGGCAGCAGUAGGGAAUCUUCCGGAAUGGGCGAAAGCCUGACGGAGCAACGCCGCGUGAGUGAUGAAGGUCUUCGGAUCGUAAAACUCUGUUAGUAGGGAAGAACAAAUGUGUAAGUAACUAUGCACGUCUUGACGGUACCUAAUCAGAAAGCCACGGCUAACUACGUG
rnacentral:rRNA from 1 species